GAUGAACGCUGGCGGCGUGCCUAAUACAUGCAAGUCGAGCGAACAGAUGAGGAGCUUGCUCCUCUGACGUUAGCGGCGGACGGGUGAGUAACACGUGGAUAACCUACCUAUAAGACUGGGAUAACUACGGGAAACCGGAGCUAAUACCGGAUAAUAUAUUGAACCGCAUGGUUCAAUAGUGAAAGACGGUUUUGCUGUCACUUAUAGAUGGAUCCGCGCCGCAUUAGCUAGUUGGUAAGGUAACGGCUUACCAAGGCAACGAUGCGUAGCCGACCUGAGAGGGUGAUCGGCCACACUGGAACUGAGACACGGUCCAGACUCCUACGGGAGGCAGCAGUAGGGAAUCUUCCGCAACGGGCGAAAGCCUGACGGAGCAACGCCGCGUGAGUGAUGAAGGUCUUCGGAUCGUAAAACUCUGUUAUUAGGGAAGAACAAAUGUGUAAGUAACUAUGCACGUCUUGACGGUACCUAAUCAGAAAGCCACGGCUAACUACGUG
rnacentral:rRNA from 1 species